rnacentral:rRNA from 1 species
UCCAGACUCCUACGGGAGGCAGCAGUGGGGAAUUUUGGACAAUGGGCGCAAGCCUGAUCCAGCAAUGCCGCGUGAGUGAAGAAGGCCUUCGGGUUGUAAAGCUCUUUUGUCAGGGAAGAAACGGUGGGGGCUAAUAUCCUCUGCUAAUGACGGUACCUGAAGAAUAAGCACCGGCUAACUACGUGCCAGCAGCCGCGGUAAUACGUAGGGUGCAAGCGUUAAUCGGAAUUACUGGGCGUAAAGCGUGCGCAGGCGGUUUUGUAAGACU